AAGAGUAAAAAUAUAUUAUUGCCACAAGUACCUAACCGACGAGUUUUAAAUAAUAAUAGAUAUAGUUACCUACUUAAAAGUAACACAGAUGGAUAAUUUAUAGGUCAACAAUGCAAGGUAAUUUUAUAAUAUAUUAUAUUUUGUGAUAGCUUUCUACAUCUUACAAAAAAAAUUAACACAUUACACAGCCAUAGGGCAUAGGUACACAAAUAUAAAAUUAUUAUAAUAGUAAGUAUUUAAAUAUUAAAAAAACUUAAAGAGAAAAUUGUAAUAUUAUUUUAAAUAUGGAGAAGUUUAACUAGGUUUAAUUAAGGCCGUGUUUCGCACGAGAGCUUUUUUUAACGUCCGUUAAAAAAGCGUUCAAAUAGAAAAAAUACAUUCCCAAGUACACACGUCAACGCUUUUUUAACGCGCACUUUGUAUUUUUAACGCAACGCUUUUUUAACGCUCGUGCGAAUUAGGGCUGAAGGGUCCAAGAAUGUAUGGAUGACAGUCAUUGCAGUUAACAAUACGAUAUAAGAUCUGUCAAAAGGAAUAAAAUUUAAAAUGGCUACUCAACUUCCCAGUAUUCGAUUUUGAGUUUUAAACUAUAUUUUAUAGCAAAA